rnacentral:rRNA from 1 species
GUUUUUGUUAAAAGUUUUAGAUUUUUUUUAAAAAUUUAUUUUAUGGGGUUGAGUUUCGUUUCCAAUGGUUAUUCUUUUAGAAAAAUUGUUUUAGAGUUUUAGGAUAAAGUUUGUGCCAGCAAUCGCGGUCAUACUCUUAUUAAUUAAACUUUUUUUAAUUCUUUUAUUUAUAUUGUUUUUUUAGUUAUUGUGUGAAAUUUUAUCUUUUUUUUUUAAUUAGUGGUUUUGUAAGUUUUACUAAAAACCAGGAUUAGAGACCCUGUUAUUUUAGGACUAUUUUUAAAGUAGUAUGGUGUAUGGCUUAAACUUAAUUUUUCUGGCGGUUUGCUACUCUUAUAGAGGAACUUGUAGUUUUUAAUGGACACCCCUCUUUAGUUUUUUCCUUUUUUAUUUUUAUGUACGGCUGUCGUGUUUUAAUUUUUGUCUUAUUACUUUUAUUUUUUUAAUCUAUUUCAGGUCAAUGUGUAGAACAUAUAGUGGAUUUUUAUGAGUUACUUUUUUGUUGUUAGGAAAACUAUUAAAAAUUGGAUUUAUUAGUAAGUUAAUAAUUUAAAAUUUUAACUGAUGGGGAAUUUUGGCAAAAGUACAUAUCGCCCGUCGCUCUUUUGAUAGAUAAGUCGUAACAAAGUGGGGAUUCUGGAAGGAGUUUCUUGUUUAAGAU